UACGGGGGGGCAAGCGUUGUUCGGAAUUACUGGGCGUAAAGGGCGCGUAGGCGGCCUGCUAAGUCGGAUGUGAAAUCCCCAGGCUCAACCUGGGAACUGCAUCCGAUACUGGAUGGCUUGAAUUCGGGAGAGGAGUGAGAAUUCCAGGUGUAGCGGUGAAAUGCGUAGAUAUCUGGAGGAAUACCGGUGGCGAAGGCGGCAUCCUGGACCGACAUUGACGCUGAGGAGCGAAAGCUAGGGGAGCAAACA
rnacentral:rRNA from 1 species